UACGGAGGGUGCAAGCGUUAUCCGGAUUCACUGGGUUUAAAGGGUGCGUAGGUGGGUCUGUAAGUCAGUGGUGAAAUCUCCAAGCUUAGCUUGGAAACUGCCGUUGAUACUAUAGAUCUUGAAUGUUGUGGAGGUGAGCGGAAUAUGUCAUGUAGCGGUGAAAUGCUUAGAUAUGACAUAGAACACCAAUUGCGAAGGCAGCUCACUACACAAAGAUUGACACUGAGGCACGAAAGCGUGGGGAUCAAACAGG
rnacentral:rRNA from 1 species